AGACGUCUACAUUAGAUACCCGCGUAGUCCCAGCCGUAAACUAUGCGCGUUAGGUGUAUCGGUGACCACGAGUCACCGAGGUGCCGAAGGGAAACCGUGAAACGUGCCGCCUGGGAAGUACGGUCGCAAGGCUGAAACUUAAAGGAAUUGACGGGGAGCACCACAACAGGUGGAGCCUGCGGUUUAAUUGGACUCAACGCCGGGAAGCUCACCGGAUAGGACAGCAGAAUGAUUGCCGGGCUGAAGACCCUGCAUGACUAGCUG
rnacentral:rRNA from 1 species